rnacentral:ncRNA from 1 species
GAGGAGCCGAUCCGGCCGCCCCCGGACGAGGUACGCCGUACCCGGUCAGCGACAAGACGGCGUGGU